rnacentral:rRNA from 1 species
AGAGUUUGAUCCUGGCUCAGGAUGAACGCUGGCGGCGUGCCUAAUACAUGCAAGUCGAGCGAACCACUUCGGUGGGAAGCGGCGAACGGGUGAGUAACACGUAGGUGAUCUGCCCAUCAGACGGGGACAACGAUUGGAAACGAUCGCUAAUACCGGAUAGGACGAAAGUUUAAAGAUGCUCCUGGCAUCACUGAUGGAUGAGCCUGCGGCGCAUUAGCUAGUUGGUGGGGUAAAGGCCUACCAAGGCGACGAUGCGUAGCCGACCUGAGAGGGUGAACGGCCACACUGGGACUGAGACACGGCCCAGACUCCUACGGGAGGCAGCAGUAGGGAAUCUUCGGCAAUGGGCGAAAGCCUGACCGAGCAACGCCGCGUGAAUGAAGAAGGCCUUCGGGUUGUAAAAUUCUGUUAUAAGGGAAGAAAGGUGAUAGGAGGAAAUGACUAUCAAUUGACGGUACCUUAUGAGAAAGCCGCGGCUAACUACGUG